rnacentral:rRNA from 1 species
GAUGAACGCUGGCGGCGUGCCUAAUACAUGCAAGUCGAGCGAACAGACGAGGAGCUUGCUCCUCUGACGUUAGCGGCGGACGGGUGAGUAACACGUGGAUAACCUACCUAUAAGACUGGGAUAACUUCGGGAAACCGGAGCUAAUACCGGAUAAUAUAUUGAACCGCAUGGUUCAAUAGUGAAAGACGGUUUUGCUGUCACUUAUAGAUGGAUCCGCGCCGCAUUAGCUAGUUGGUAAGGUAACGGCUUACCAAGGCAACGAUGCGUAGCCGACCUGAGAGGGUGAACGGCCACACUGGAACUGAGACACGGUCCAGACUCCUACGGGAGGCAGCAGUAGGGAAUCUUCCGCAAUGGGCGAAAGCUUGACGGAGCAACGCCGCGUGAGUGAUGAAGGUCUUCGGAUCGUAAAACUCUGUUAUUAGGGAAGAACAAAUGUGUAAGUAACUAUGCACGUCUUGACGGUACCUAAUCAGAAAGCCACGGCUAACUACGUG